ACGGAAGGCAGCAGUGGGGAAUAUUGGACAAUGGGGGAAACCCUGAUCCAGCGACGCCGCGUGAGUGAAGAAGUAUUUCGGUAUGUAAAGCUCUAUCAGCAAGGAAGAAAAUGACGGUACUUGACUAAGAAGCUCCGGCUAAAUACGUGCCAGCAGCCGCGGUAAUACGUAUGGAGCAAGCGUUAUCCGGAUUUACUGGGUGUAAAGGGAGCGUAGACGGUAAAGCAAGUCUGAAGUGAAAUCCCGGGGCUCAACCCCGGAACUGCUUUGGAAACUGUUUAACUAGAUUGCAGGAGAGGUAAGCGGAAUUCCUAGUGUAGCGGUGAAAUGCGUAGAUAUUAGGAGGAACACCAGUGGCGAAGGCGGCUUACUGGACUGUAACUGACGUUGAGGCUCGAAAGCGUGGGGAGCAAACAGGAUUAGAUACCCUGGUA
rnacentral:rRNA from 1 species